rnacentral:rRNA from 1 species
UACGAAGGGGGCUAGCGUUGCUCGGAAUUACUGGGCGUAAAGGGCGCGUAGGCGGAUAGUUUAGUGAGAGGUGAAAGCCCAGGGCUCAACCUUGGAACUGCCUUUCAUACUGGCUAUCUUGAGUACGGGAGAGGUGAGUGGAACUCCGAGUGUAGAGGUGAAAUUCGUAGAUAUUCGGAAGAACACCAGUGGCGAAGGCGACUCACUGGCCCGUUACUGACGCUGAGGCGCGAAAGCGUGGGGAGCAAACAGGG